rnacentral:ncRNA from 1 species
CUAACCUGUAACUUAAGGUCUUGGUCUUAAACCUAUUAUUAUUUAAACUCUAUACUUAUACAUGCACGCCUCCACACAACAGUGAAACAGCCCACAAACCACCAACAAUGGAGCAGGUAUCAGGCUAAACGCCCACAACACCAAGCAACCAAGCCACACCCCCACGGGCCAGCAGCAGUAAUUAAUAUUAGGCAAUAAACGCAAGCUUGACCUAAUAAUACGAACCCAAGGGCCGGUUAAUCUCGUGCCAGCGACCGCGGUUACACGACAGGCCCAAAAUAAUAACACCGGCGUAAAGCACGGCUAAAACUAUAAUGUUCCCACGUUAAGGUUAAAAUUAACCCGGGCUGUAAAAAGCCAUAAGAUAAACUAAACACCCACCCUAACAUCAGAACAACUUCAACCCGUGAAAGCUAAGACACAAACUAAGAUUAGAUACCUUACUAUGCCUAGCUAUAAUAUAACAAUCAAACAACCAAUUGUUCGCCAAAUAACUACGAGUGAAAACUUAAAAUUUAAAAGACUUGACGGUACUUCACAACAACCUAGAGGAGCCUGUCCCAUAACCGAUGAUCCACGAUUAACCCAACCCGCUCUAGCCCCACAGUCUAUAUACCGCCGUCGCCAGCUUACCUUGUGAAAGAAAUAAAGUAAACUCAACAACUACCCGUUAACACGACAGGUCGAGGUGUAACUAAUGAGCCGGAAUAAGAUGGGCUACAUUUUCUUAACCAGAAGAAACGAACAGACUAUGAAACUAGAAACUGAAGGCGGAUUUAGCAGUAAGUCAGGAAUAAAUAUGCCUAACUGAAACCAACGCAAUGAAGUGCGCACACACCGCCCGUCAUCCCUGUAAAACAAAAAAAAUAUACAUAAUAACCACAAUAACACUAAAACAGGGCAAGUCGUAACAUGGUAAGCGUACUGGAAAGUGCGCUUAG